rnacentral:rRNA from 1 species
AUUGAACGCUGGCGGCAGGCUUAACACAUGCAAGUCGAGCGAGCGGCGGACGGGUGAGUAAUGUCUGGGAAACUGCCUGAUGGAGGGGGAUAACUACUGGAAACGGUAGCUAAUACCGCAUACCAUCAGAUGUGCCCAGGUGGGAUUGGCUAGUAGGUGGGGUAAUGGCUCACCUAGGGGAGGAUACCUAGCUGGGCUGAGAGGAUGACCAGCAAAACUGGAACUGAGCAACGGGCCAGACUCCUACGGGAGGCGGCAGUGGGGAAUAUUGCACAAUGGGCGCAAGCCUGCUGCAGCCAUGCCGCGUGUGUGAAGAAGGCCUUCGGGUUGUAAAGCACUUUCAGCGAGGAGGCGUUACUCGCAGAAGAAGCACCGGCUAACUCCGUGCCAGCAGCCGCGGUAAUAC